rnacentral:rRNA from 1 species
UACGUAGGGUGCGAGCGUUGUCCGGAAUUAUUGGGCGUAAAGAGCUUGUAGGCGGUUUGUCGCGUCUGCUGUGAAAUUUCGGGGCUCAACCUCGGACUUGCAGUGGGUACGGGCAGACUAGAGUGUGGUAGGGGAGAUUGGAAUUCCUGGUGUAGCGGUGAAAUGCGCAGAUAUCAGGAGGAACACCGGUGGCGAAGGCGGGUCUCUGGGCCGAUAUUGACGCUGAGGAGCGAAAGCGUGGGGAGCGAACAGG